CUUCAUCUGGUCAGGUUUGGAGGUCUUCACAUCAGGAGGUCCAGCAACAUAUUUUGAUGACUCAGACGUCUUAGAAACUUCUAGACUCUGUCUAGAACCAGUUGGCACAACCUGGGUUUCUUCCACAACAGCAGUAAUGGAUGGACCCGUGACUGAAUCUGUAAUGAUCAAUGACACCACACUCCCCGGGUCUUGUUGGUCAAAAGGUGAAGCCACUGGAUCAACAACUUGUAUUUCUAUGCUACUCUGUACACGACUCUGUUCAGACAUUGGACUGAUCUCCACCUCUACAAUAGUUUCACCUUCCUUUGUGCUCCCUACACUUUGUUGGACAUUUGGAGUGCCAGGACGAUCAUGAGCCUCAGAAUAAGAGACUGACUGCUCUGUUGACCCCUUGCCCUUGUUUGUCUCUUCAAGAUUCAUAGAGAUUUCAGCUGGUCUUUCAAGGUCCAUCAUUUCCCCAGGCUUAAGGUGUCCAAAGGUUUUCCCAGAAGAAGAAAGUGUUUCAGAAGUUGUGACAAGUUCUGGGCUCUUGGUUUUGGUUGAUCCAUGUAAGGUGUGUCCCAUUAUGACAAUUUGAGUUUCUGUUGGUACUUGUUGAGCAUCAAUUGGCAGCAAAAUAGAGGAAAGUUCCAGAGUUGACUUGAUACUAGCUGGGACAAAAUUCAUUUCAUCUUUAGAUUCUACCUUAGCUUCUGAGCGUUUAACAUGAUCAGCAGCAGCUUUGGAAUCACCUGGACCCUUGCUCUCAGUAAGCAAAGAUUGUGUCUCUUUUAAAGGUUUAGCUUCCAGAACUCCAGCAGUUUCAGGCUCUCUUGGGAGGGAUUUAUGGAGUUGUAUGGAAGAUUCCAAACUGCUUGGCUCUUUUUGAGUUGGUUCAGGCUUGACAUCACCGAAGCAAAUGGUUCCUGGUUCUGAAGUUUUUGCAAGUUUGGGACAUUUCUCCACAAAAGGCCUUUUAAUUUCAGAUCUGGGACUUUGUGGGGACAAAGGACCCUCACUUUCUUUCUGUUGUUGCUGUUGCACAUCAGUAGGUUGCACAGAUGAAAGCGCAGUCUGAGACUUUCUUCUGGUUGGUACAAGCUGUGCUUCUUUCACAACAGCAGUCACGGUUUCCAUUGUGACGGACUCUCGGCUAACACAACUUUCCAGAUUCAUGAGAUCCGAUACCUCCUUGGGUUCCACAGUGAAGACGUCAGUGGUUUUAUUGUCGGUUCUCAUUACAAAGCUUUUUAUAUCAGGAUUUGAACUCGUUGAGGACAGAAGACGAUCACUAUCCUUGCUGGAUUCUGGUUCGGUAUCAGCAGGUUUUAUUGAUGUCUCCAAUGUUCUCCCGGUUGGUGAUACAAGCUUGGCCUUCUCCCCAGUACUAGUGACAGAUUUGGUCUGAACAUCAGCAGAUGUAGCUGAUGACUUUUUCCUUAUUGGAAUUUCAGGUUUUGCCUGAAAUUGUUGUGUCUUCACAGCCACAGGUGCAGUUACACUUGCAAGUUCCUGAUGGAAUGUAGUCUGGUCUUUGGGCUCAGGUUUUGGAACAUCUUGCGGUUGUCCUUCAGGAAUUAAGGACUGGGGCACAACUAUUUCACUUUGAGGACGUUGAGGAAGUACAGAUGGCUCUGAUUCCUUAGAUGCCUGUCCCAGUGGGAUGUCAACCCCUAUCGAUCCAGCAAUGUCAGCUCUCUCAGAGCUUAAUUCCUUUAGGCAAACGUCUACUGUCUGGACAUCAGGACUUUCCAGAACUACAACUACCUUCUUGAUUGAGUAUGGCUUUACCAUUUCAUGGAUGGUUGUACUUUGUGAGUCAGACAGAGCAGCUUGUUCUUCUCUAAUUGGAGAAGGCUGAGGGGACUCAGAGUCUUCUGUUGAAUGUGCAGGUUUUACAUCACCCUGUUUCAUAGGAGAUCCAUCAACCUUCACCAUUCUCCUGGCAGGUACCACUAUGGGUGCCUCCAAAACAACACCAGUUUCUGCCAAUUCUGUGUUUGACUCUGGAGUGACAGGAGACUUAAGACUUUCUGGUCCUGUCUCCACAUCAACAGGUCCAGUCACAGGUGAUGUUAGCUCUGAAGCUCUAGAAACUUCUAGAUCAUCUUUGUUACCAGUUUUCUCUAUUUUUGUUUCUUCUACAGCAGCAGUUAUUGAUGGCCUGAUGACUGACUCUGGAUUAAUCAAUGACUUCUGACUUGCAGGGUCUUGUUUAGUUGUAACAGUGAUUACUUCUUUGUUGAUAGUUUUGGUUUUGAUUGGCUCUGACGUUUUGGUCGAUUUUGACCUCCUUGAGGGGGGUGAAGGCUUAGCUUGCUCAAGAGCCACUGUUUCCAAGCCAUGUUCUGAACUUUUCAUCUUUUGCUGUUCUGCAUCUACUUUCUGUUCUGCAUCUACUUUCAUAGACAAAACAGAUGUCUUUGCCUUUCUCCUAAUUGGUACAAGCUUAGUCUGCUCUAUAGCAGUGGUCUCGGAUUCACAGAGUUUGGUUGGAAAAUCAGCAGAAACAGCAACAUCUGAGGCUGGCCCUGAGACUGUAGAGUCUCCUGGGAUCUCUUGAGACCUUCUCCUGCUUGACACGCAUGGCAGGUCAUCCACGUCCACCUUAGCUGUUAAAACUGUUGUUGAAUCUUUGUUUGUUGAUGGCACCACAAUAGAGGUGUCCUGUUUUGUUUUUUCAGUCUUUCCUUCAGAUGUUUUAAUAGUGGUUUCUGCUGGUUGUUUUGCUGUUGUUCUGCACACUUUGGGGCUUUUCCUUUGCUGCAAAGGUAAAGGCAAGGCUUGUU
ensembl:lncRNA